rnacentral:rRNA from 1 species
GAUGAACGCUGGCGGCGUGCCUAAUACAUGCAAGUCGAGCGAACAGAUGAGGAGCUUGCUCCUCUGACGUUAGCGGCGGACGGGUGAGUAACACGUGGAUAACCUACCUAUAAGACUGGGAUAACUUCGGGAAACCGGAGCUAAUACCGGAUAAUAUAUUGAACCGCAUGGUUCAAUAGUGAAAGACGGUUUUGCUGUCACUUAUAGAUGGAUCCGCGCCGCAUUAGCUAGUUGGUAAGGUAACGGCUUACCAAGGCAACGAUGCGUAGCCGACCUGAGAGGGUGAUCGGCCACACUGGAACUGAGACACGGUCCAGACUCCUACGGGAGGCAGCAGUAGGGAAUCUUCCGCAAUGGGCGAAAGCUUGACGGAGCAACGCCGCGUGAGUGAUGAAGGUCUUCGGAUCGUAAAACUCUGUUAUUAGGGAAGAACAAAUGUGUAAGUAACUAUGCACGUCUUGACGGUACCUAAUCAGAAAGCCACGGCUAACUACG